rnacentral:rRNA from 1 species
GAGUUUGAUCUUGGCUCAGAUUGAACGCUGGCGGCAUGCCUUACACAUGCAAGUCGAACGGCAGCACGGGAGCUUGCUCCUGGUGGCGAGUGGCGAACGGGUGAGUAAUGCAUCGGAACGUAUCCUGGAGUGGGGGAUAACGUAGCGAAAGUUACGCUAAUACCGCAUAUUCUGUGAGCAGGAAAGCGGGGGACCUUCGGGCCUCGCGCUCUUGGAGCGGCCGAUGUCGGAUUAGCUAGUUGGUGAGGUAAAGGCUCACCAAGGCGACGAUCCGUAGCAGGUCUGAGAGGAUGAU